CUUAUCAGCAUGCGCACGCACUUCCCCACCCAACUGACUUUUAAAAUCCAACCCCUGCACUGCUGCCGAGUCCGACUUCAGUUCAACCGUCAUUUUUCUGUCAUGUAUCUGAAGCUGUACAAACUCUGCCGUCUUCAUAUCCAAGGUAAGAACUACAGUACUUUUGUAUGCUAAUUGAAAACUGGAAUUAAUUAGAAAAGUACAGGGUUUUUUUUUAUUUAUAAUGUAGCACUAAUGUUAACCGUCAACUGUCAUGUUAGAAUUAGCUAACGUUAUGAAUUAGCUAGCGAGCUAACAUCGCUAACGUUAGCUGUUACAAAUUAAUGUUAGCUGCUAACUUUUCCAAUAACUAACUUUACCAUUAUGGAAUGGUAGUAAUAUCAUAAGUCUGUCUGAGAUGUCGUUAGGAAUGUAAAGUUUUAGUUUGAAUGAAAUGGUCCAGGGCUAGGCUAUCAGUCUUGAAUGUUAGCUAACCUAGCUAGAAGCUAUACCUUACAUUUAAAGUGGCUGCUGCUGACGUGAACUUUAACGUUACAGAGACAGGCGGCUGACCCACGUCAAUACCGAAGUAAAUGCCAGGGAUCUUUAGUUUGUGAAAGGUAACGUAGUGUUAAGCCAUCCUUACACCAGAAGACUUCGACAAGAUUUGGACGGUGAGUUGUGACGACUGCUGUCCUGAGACCAUUGAGUGCAGUCUGGAAUAUUCCAAAUGUGUGCCAGUUCCAUAAGAAAAUGUUCCAAUCAAGAGUACACUCACCAGUGGGCUCAAUAGUCCAGGACAAAGUCGGUCUGUCCUUCUACUACUACAUGCUACUUGACUUUGUCUGGAAGCCAUGGAUGCUGCCCUCAACAUGCUGUAAGUGUCUUUGUGUUUUGAAUGAGGGCUAUGGGGUAUGUUACUGU